UACGUAGGGAGCAAGCGUUGUCCGGAAUCAUUGGGCGUAAAGCGCGCGUAGGUGGCUUCGUAAGUCCGUUGUGAAAGUCAAAGGCUCAACCUUUGAAAGCCGAUGGAUACUGCGGAGCUAGAGUACGGAAGAGGCGAGUGGAAUUCCUGGUGUAGCGGUGGAAUGCGCAGAUAUCAGGAGGAACACCAAUAGCGAAGGCAGCUCGCUGGGACGUUACUGACACUGAGGCGCGAAAGCCAGGGGAGCGAACGGG
rnacentral:rRNA from 1 species